UGAGGUAGUGAUCGAAUGACCCUUUAUUUCUAACAUUAAGAAUCUUUCAACAUCCAGCUUUAGAUCUUCAACUUCAAUGGAUGCUAGAGACAGGAGAGUUUGUUUACCCUUUUACUUCUUUUUUGUAGCUCCCCCACUAAAGGCAGAAGGAGUAGAUGGCCUUCAAAUUGCAAUUGGCUUGGAGGGAGAAGCGGGGGAACUCCAUGACUCAAAAACUUCUAACCCAC
rnacentral:lncRNA from 1 species